rnacentral:rRNA from 1 species
GACGAACGCUGGCGGCGUGCUUAACACAUGCGAGUCGAACGGAAAGGCCCUGCUUUUGUGGGGUGCUCGAGUGGCGAACGGGUGAGUAACACGUGAGUAACCUGCCCUUGACUUUGGGAUAACUUCAGGAAACUGGGGCUAAUACCGGAUAGGAGCUCCUGCUGCAUGGUGGGGGUUGGAAAGUUUCGGCGGUUGGGGAUGGACUCGCGGCUUAUCAGCUUGUUGGUGGGGUAGUGGCUUACCAAGGCUUUGACGGGUAGCCGGCCUGAGAGGGUGACCGGGGACCUGGGGCCUGAGAUACGGCCCAGAAUCCUACGGGAGGCAGCAGUGGGGAGCAUUGCAGAGUGGGGGGACGCCUGUGGCGGCAGCGCCGGGUGCGGGAUGACGGCCUUCGGGUUGUAAACCGCUUUCGCCUGUGACGAAGCGUGCGUGACGGUAAUGGGUAAAGAAGCACCGGCUAACUACGUG